UAAUAGCGUAUAUUAAAGUUGUUGCAGUUAAAAAGCUCGUAGUCGAAUCUUGGGGUCGGGCAGGCUAUCGGCCUAGUGUCGGAUGGUCAACUCGGCUCUUUCUUUCUGGGGACUGCGUCCCUUUAAUUAGGGGCGUAUGGACGCAGAUCGUUUACUUUGAAAAAAUUAGAGUGUUCAAAGCAAGCCAUCGCUUGAAUACAUUAGCAUGGAAUAAUGGAAUAGGACUGCGGUUCUAUUUUGUUGGUUUCUAGGACCGAAGUAAUGAUUAAUAGGGACAGUUGGGGCCGUUUAUAUUCCGUUGUCAGAGGUGAAAUUCUUGGAUUUACGGAAGAUAAACUUCUGCGAAAGCAUUCGGCAAGGAUGUUUUCAUUGA
rnacentral:rRNA from 1 species